rnacentral:rRNA from 1 species
AUUGAACGCUGGCGGCAUGCUUUACACGUGCAAGUCGAACGGUAACAGGCCGCAAGGUGCUGACGAGUGGCGAACGGGUGAGUAAUGCAUCGGAACGUGCCCAGUCGUGGGGGAUAACGCAGCGAAAGCUGUGCUAAUACCGCAUACGAUCUAUGGAUGAAAGCGGGGGACCGUAAGGCCUCGCGCGAUUGGAGCGGCCGAUGUCAGAUUAGGUAGUUGGUGGGGUAAAGGCCUACCAAGCCGACGAUCUGUAGCUGGUCUGAGAGGACGACCAGCCACACUGGGACUGAGACACGGCCCAGACUCCUACGGGAGGCAGCAGUGGGGAAUUUUGGACAAUGGGCGCAAGCCUGAUCCAGCAAUGCCGCGUGCAGGAAGAAGGCCUUCGGGUUGUAAACUGCUUUUGUACGGAACGAGAAGACUCUUUCUAAUAAAGAGGGUCCAUGACGGUACCGUAAGAAUAAGCACCGGCUAACUACGUGCCAGCCGCCGCCGUAACAC